rnacentral:rRNA from 1 species
UACGUAGGGGGCAAGCGUUGUCCGGAAUCAUUGGGCGUAAAGCGCGUGUAGGCGGCUUGGUAAGUCUGCUCUGAAAGCCCGGGGCUCAACCCCGGGAGGCGGGUGGAUACUGUCAAGCUCGAGUCCGGAAGAGGAGUGUGGAAUUCCUGGUGUAGCGGUGAAAUGCGCAGAUAUCAGGAAGAACACCAAUGGCGAAGGCAGCUCUCUGGGACGGUACUGACACUGAGACGCGAAAGCGUGGGGAGCGAACAGG